CCCCUCGCUGUCUUCCUCUUCCUUCCACCUCUCCUUCCUCAAUUCCUCCGCAUAAAAAUUCUCCUUACCCAACCUCUCCCACUCCCAUUGUCACCUUCGAUCUCAACUAGUUGUGAUGCCGCUUUGAAAUAGUUGAAUCCCCCAACAUCUCUCUCUACAAAAACGCAGAUCAAGUGACCAAGUUACGGAGUCGACUGAGAGCAACCGAUUGUGACGCCAUUGCCGACACCUUCGUCCUUGCUGGAUUGAUCGCUGACUUGUCUCUCCUCCUCCCUCACUCGAUAUGAGAUGAGAUUUAAUAUGAAAACUGGUCUGGCAUUACAGAAGAAACUAUGAGCAGAUGUUGUAGAUUUUCCAAGGGUGAAUGAGAGCUACACUGGAAGGAUUGGCAUGUGGCUAUUAUGACUCAGCCUAUUGUAAGCAUAUAGCAACAAAACCCACCUCAUUGAAAAAGAAGAAGAAGAAUUAGAAAGGAUAGAAGGCAUUAGAGGCGAAAGAGGAGGUCACCGGUUGGAAGAAAGAGGAAACCAUCAACUGCGGCUUCGAUCGCCGAGACUGCCACCAUCACUUCCGAUCAUCACUCUCACCUCCAAACCUCUUCUCUACAAGUAUAUCUCUCAUCUCUCUUUCAGUUUCUGGAUUUAAUUUUUGUAUACAACAACAUAUCAGUAAGUUGUCAUUUUUGGGACAGCUUUCGGGGUCGCCAUUGUUGGGCGAUUUCUUACUAUUAAAUUGUGAAUUGGGUUUCAACUUCUUCUUGAGAUUUAAAGUACAUAUGUAGCUUGUUCUUUUGCAGUUGAAAUCGUUCAAAAACGUUGAGAAUUCAAUUCAUAAUGAAUUUUCGAAAUCUGCUCUCCAUUAUGAAAAUCUGUUGUUGAACAAAUUCGUACAGCUUUGCUAUCUGUCUGUAUUUUCAUCCUUAUACUUUGAAUUUGAUUCAAGUUCCUUCAUGAGAUAUAAACUAGACUCGUAGAUUGAUCUUUGAGCGUUGGAAUCACUCAAAAAUAUUGAAGAUUCAAUUUAUAGCGAAUAUUUGAAAACUGCUUUGCAUCCUGAUAGUCUGCUAUUUGACAGAUUCGUAUAGCCUUGGAAUUCAUUUAGUUUUUCAUUCUUAAAGUUUGAAUUUGAUUUCAGUUCCUUCAUGACAUUCGAACUUCAUUCUGUUGCACAACUUUUGACACCAAAAUCACUCGAAAAUAUUAAGAGCUCGAUCUAUGGUGAUUUUUGGAAGUCGGGCUGUUUUGUAUUGUUCCUGUCUGAAAACCAGUCACUUGUUUGGUUCCCAUGAUGAAUCUACUUAGAAUUUCGGUCUCCAAUUAUUUUCUGGAAAUUUUAUUGUUAGUUAACUAUCAUUGAGGGCUAGUUUCACCCUUUUUGGAUCUCGAAUGAAUUAGUUAUGAUUUUUAUAUCAAGAGGUGUCGGUUUGGGACAUUGAUU